CCCCUUUAAAGAGUGCGUAAAAGCUCGCUAAAUUAGAAACUAUGCGCUGAAAAUGCAAGAAUAAGAAUACUUUUCUGAAGCUAUGAGAUUUAUAUUUUAAAUCGGUAGAGGAGCGUUCUAUAUUUAAGAAGCAAAAAUGUAAAUUUUUGUAGAAAUAAUAGAAGUGAGAAUGUCAGCUUAAGUAGCAUAAAUAUUAGUAAAAUCUAAUACUCCGAAAGUUAAAAGGUCUCCUAUGAAAGGAUAUACCACAUAGGGAAAGUCGGGGCCUAAAAUUAGAUUUAAUAUGUAAUUGAUGGGUAAAAAAGGUUAAAAUUCCUAUACCAUAAUAUAUAAUUAAAACAAAAAGUGACCUAUAAUAUUUAGUAUAUUUUUAAGAAUUAGUUACUUAAUAUACUAUAUAUUUUAUAGCUAGAAAAAUGUAUAUGUUAUAAUUAAAUUAUGCCCGUACUAAAACUGACACAAGUAAACAAGUAAAAAUCUACUAAGGAGUACGAAAUAACUUUCUCUAAGGAACUCGGCAAAAUAAUCCUGUAACUUCGGGAUAAAGGAUGCCCAAAGGGCUGCAAUUAAAAGAUCCAAGCGACUGUUUAUCAAAAACACAGGUCUCCGCUAAGUUUAAUCACAAUAUAAGGAGGCUGACACCUGCCCAGUGCUGGUAAGUAAAAAAAAAUGUUUUUAACAAAAGCAUUUUUAUAAGCUCCAGUAAACGGCGGCUGUAACUAUAACGGUCCAAAGGUAGCGAAAUUCCUUGUCGGGUAAGUUCCGACCUGCACGAAAGGUGUAACGACUUGGAUGCUGUCUUUGAGAAAGAUUCGGUGAAAUAGAAAUGUCUGUGAAGAUACGGACUAUCUACACCUGGACAGAAAGACCCUACGAAGCUUCACUAUAUUUUAAAAUUAAAAAUGAAAUAUAUUUGUAUAGAAUAAGUGGGAAACUAACUUUAUAGUUUAUCUUGAAAUACCACUCCUGUAUAUUUUAUUUUUUUAUUAUAAUAUUGUUAACCAAUUAUAAGAAACUUUUAAAAAGGUAGUUUGACUGGGGCGCGUAUCCUCUCUAAAAGGCAUACGCGAGGUGUACCAAGGUCUUCCGUCUAAUUUAAAAUAAUUGUGUACAUUAAGAUUAUAAAGGAAAAAAGGCUUGAUUGCAAGAGUUACUACUCGAGCAAGGACGAAAGUCGGUCUUAAUGAUCCGACAGUUCUGUGUGUAAA
rnacentral:rRNA from 1 species